ensembl:lncRNA
UGGCAUUUUUAACCCCAGUUUUUAGGCAUCUCAUGCUGGUUGUUCUCACAAGCAUCAGGGACCAUGAGAUGGAUGUUGUGCUGUAAAAUGCAUGUUUUCUUUUACUUUUUGCUACUUUCUUGCCAUCUGCUGAGUCCUGUGAUUCCACAUCUGAGAGUGAAAGCUAGCUGAGUGCUGGGGAGUCUGGGAUCUUUAUGGUCCCAUCACCUACUGUAAGUGCAGGUACUUAUCUUCAGUGAUUGGUCUAAUAAAAUAUAUCUCCCCAACUUACAGACCAUGCCUCCCAAGCAUUUACCUGACUGUUAUACUAACACAUAGGCACCAAACCACCAGAACAUUAAGCUUUACAAUGCCCAAGUGAGAUAAGAAAAGGUGCUUUCUUUAUAUUGAAGGAAAGAAGGUGUCACAUCCUCACUGUUACAUCACAGCUCCUGCCCAGAGUCACUAGGAGAAAUCACAACACUCAAGAGGAAACCUGGGGAUGGCAUAUGAGGACUGCAAGAGCCAUGGUCAGAAGGGACACUCACCCCGAGCAAGGAGAAGCCCUGCAGAGACACAGAUAUCCAAGCCCUGUUCUUCAUUUUCCUGUCUGUAAAGUAGACUAAUGUUAACUUUUUUUUUUUCUUUUUUUCUUUUUUUUCUCCAAAAUGAUCCUGGUCUGAUAACACUUGGGGUAUUUUGACCACCUGGUGUCCUGGAAGCAUAUUUAAGGAGAUGGUUAGUGGACAUGAUGGUGAUGGGUCAACAAUUGGACUAGAUGAUCUCAGAGGUCUUUUCUAACCUUAGUGAUUCUUUGCCUUCAUGUUUCCAUGCUCUGUUGGCAUGAUGCUCUGAAAGCAGCCCAUAUUGAUUUCUGCCCUAUUAUUAUUCUUUUGUAUCUAUCCUGGGACUUGACAGCAAUGCUUUUACACAGGCAAGACUCUACCUCAG